GAUGAACGCUGGCGGCGUGCCUAACACAUGCAAGUCGAGCGAAGCACUUUGCUUAGAUUCUUCGGAUGAAGAGGAUUGUGACUGAGCGGCGGACGGGUGAGUAACGCGUGGGUAACCUGCCUCAUACAGGGGGAUAACAGUUAGAAAUGACUGCUAAUACCGCAUAAGACCACAGCGCCGCAUGGUGCGGGGGUAAAAACUCCGGUGGUAUGAGAUGGACCCGCGUCUGAUUAGCUAGUUGGUAAGGUAACGGCUUACCAAGGCGACGAUCAGUAGCCGACCUGAGAGGGUGACCGGCCACAUUGGGACUGAGACACGGCCCAAACUCCUACGGGAGGCAGCAGUGGGGAAUAUUGCACAAUGGGGGAAACCCUGAUGCAGCGACGCCGCGUGAGCGAAGAAGUAUUUCGGUAUGUAAAGCUCUAUCAGCAGGGAAGAAAAUGACG
rnacentral:rRNA from 1 species